UACGUAGGGUGCAAGCGUUAAUCGGAAUUACUGGGCGUAAAGCGUGCGCAGGCGGUCCGUUAAGACAGAUGUGAAAUCCCCGGGCUUAACCUGGGAACUGCAUUUGUGACUGGCGGACUCGAGUAUGGCAGAGGGGGGGUAGAAUUCCACGUGUAGCAGUGAAAUGCGUAGAGAUGUGGAGGAAUACCGAUGGCGAAGGCAGCCCCCUGGGCCCAAUAC
rnacentral:rRNA from 1 species